rnacentral:rRNA from 1 species
AGUAAAAGUCGUAACAAGGUCUCCGUUGGUGAACCAGCGGAGGGAUCAUUACAGAGUUAUCCAACUCCCAAACCCAUGUGAACUUAUCUCUUUGUUGCCUCGGCGCAAGCUACCCGGGACCUCGCGCCCCGGGGGGCCCGCCGGCGGACAAACCAAACUCUGUUAUCUUCGCUGAUUAUCUGAGUGUCUUAUUUAAUAAGUCAAAACUUUCAACAACGGAUCUCUUGGUUCUGGCAUCGGUGAAGAACGCAGCGAAAUGCGAUAAGUAAUGUGAAUUGCAGAAUUCAGUGAAUCAUCGAAUCUUUGAACGCACAUUGCGCCCAUUAGUAUUCUAGUGGGCAUGCCUGUUCGAGCGUCAUUUCAACCCCUAAGCACAGCUUAUUGUUGGGACUCUACGGCUUCGUAGUUCCCCAAAGACAUUGGCGGAGUGGCAGCAGUCCUCUGAGCGUAGUAAUUCUUUAUCUCGCUUUUGUUAGGCGCUGCCCCCCCGGCCGUAAAACCCCCAAUUUUUUCUGGUUGACCUCGGAUCAGGUAGGAAUACCCGCUGAAUUUAAGCAUAUCAAUAAGCGGAGGAAAAGAAACCAACAGGGAUUGCCUCAGUAACG